UACAGAGGCCCCAAGCAUUAUCCGGAAUCACUGGGCGUAAAGGGUGUGUAGGCGGUUUUGUUAGUCUUUCGUGAAAGAUCUUGGGCUUAACCCAGGAGACGCGGGAGAAACGGCAAGGCUGUGAGGACGUAAGAGGUACAGGGAACUCAUGGUGUAGGGGUGAAAUCCGUUGAUAUCAUGGGGAACACCAAAUGCGAAGGCACUGUACUGGUACGCUCCUGACGCUGAAACACGAAAGCGUGGGAAUCGA
rnacentral:rRNA from 1 species